rnacentral:rRNA from 1 species
AGGACGAACGCUGGCGGCGUGCUUAACACAUGCAAGUCGAACGAGGCCCUCCCUUCGGGGAGGUGUCCUAGUGGCGAACGGGUGAGUAACACGUGGGCAACCUGCCCUCAGCUCUGGGAUAACCCCCGGAAACGGGAGCUAAUACCGGAUACGACCUUGUGAGACAUCUCGCUUGGUGGAAAGUUUUUCGGCUGAGGAUGGGCCCGCGGCCUAUCAGCUUGUUGGUGGGGUAAUGGCCUACCAAGGCGACGACGGGUA